rnacentral:rRNA from 1 species
UACGUAGGGUGCAAGCGUUGUCCGGAAUUAUUGGGCGUAAAGAGCUCGUAGGCGGCUUGUCACGUCGGGUGUGAAAGCCCGGGGCUUAACCCUGAGCCUGCUUCCGAUACGGGCAGACUAGAGGUAUGCAGGGGAGACUGGAAUUCCUGGUGUAGCGGUGAAAUGCGCAGAUAUCAGGAGGAACACCAAUUGCGAAGGCAGCUCGCUGGGACGUUACUGACGCUGAGACGCGAAAGCGUGGGGAGCAAACAGG